UAGUGAUUUUAUAUUUAUAUAUCUAUAUAUACAUUUUUGCAACCAUUUUGUGAAAUAAAUCAAGUAGUUCGGACUUAUUUACAAUGGCUACCACUGGAUUUUAAUAUUUGUUUUUGAUAAUUAA
rnacentral:sRNA from 1 species